CCAAUAGCGUAUAUUAAAGUUGUUGCAGUUAAAAAGCUCGUAGUUGAAUUUCGAGAUCAAAUUGUUGGUCGUGCCUUGGUACGCACUGGCAUUAUUGGUUUCUCCCUUCUGACGAACCAUGAUGUCAUUAAUUUGGUGUCAUGGGAAAUCAGGACUGUUACUUUGAAAAAAUUAGAGUGUUUAAAGCAGGCUCGCGCUUGAAUACAUUAGCAUGGAAUAAUGAAAUAGGACGUUUGAUUCUAUUUUGUUGGUUUCUAGGAUCGACGUAAUGAUUAAUAG
rnacentral:rRNA from 1 species